rnacentral:rRNA from 1 species
AGCGAACGCUGGCGGCAGGCUUGACACAUGCAAGUCGAGCGGGCAUCCUUGUGGUGUCAGCGGCAGACGGGUGAGUAACGCGUGGGAACGUGCCCUUCGGUUCGGAAUAACUCAGGGAAACUUUAGCUAAUACCGGAUACGUGCGAGAGCAGAAAGGUUUAUCUGCCGAAGGAUCGGCCCGCGUCUGAUUAGCUAGUUGGUGAGGUGAUGGCUCACCAAGGCGACGAUCAGUAGCUGGUCUGAGAGGAUGAUCAGCCACACUGGGACUGAGACACGGCCCAGACUCCUACGGGAGGCAGCAGUGGGGAAUAUUGGACAAUGGGGGCAAACCUGAUCCAGCCAUGCCGCGUGAGUGAUGCCGGCCUUAGGGUUGUAAAGCUCUUUUCUCCGGGACGAUAAUGACGGUACCGGAGGAAUAAGCACCGGCUAACUUCGUG